rnacentral:lncRNA from 1 species
GAUUCAAUGUUUGGACAUAAUAUGGGUUUCCGAAACCAUUAUUAAGAUAGUCUUAAUAACAUAUGUCUAAAACUAUGAAUCACAAGACAUAUAAGUUGUAGAGAUCCAACCAUCAUGAAUCUUAGCAAGCUAGUGGGAGCUAUAAGCAUCUUAUGAGAAAAGGAUCAAAUCGUUUGAUUUCUCAUAAAGAUGUAAAUGAAUCUUUUGUUUACUAGGUUUACAAAAGGUUAGUAGGAGUUAAUCAUGUUCCUAAAAUUUAAAUAUAUAUGAUAUAUUAAUUUUGGAAAUGAAAAGAAUUCUUCUUCAUUAAAGUUAUAACUUUAAAACAUUAUAUGAAGAUAGAAUGUAUAUGGGAGUUAAUCAUGUUCCUAAAAUUUAAAUAUAUAUGAUAUAUUAAUUUUGGAAAUGAAAAGAAUACUUCUUCUUUAAAGUUGUGACUAAGAAACAUUAUAUGAAGAUAGAAUGUAUAUGGCAGAUAUAGUCUAUAUACAUGGGAUGGAAAUCUAUAAUGAUAUAUUUCAUGAUAUAAUUGGAUUAUAUCAAUCCCUAAUAAUAGACAAUAGAUGCUAGGAAGUUUCUCAUAUGAUGAUAAACUUCAAUUAGAAGAACAACUCUAGUGAGACUAAGAAGUUGCUCUUCUCAAAGAGAACGUACUCUUUGACUCCCAAAGAAAUAAUGCGUAAAUAGAAUCCUUUAUGCAUACGCAUAAAGGGGAU